AAUCCGGUUGAUCCUGCCGGACCUGACUGCUAUCGGAUUAGUACUAAGCCAUGCGAGUCAUUGCAGCAAUGCAAGGCGGACGGCUCAGUAACACGUAG
rnacentral:ncRNA from 1 species